rnacentral:misc_RNA from 1 species
AAGUCGUAACAAGGUUUCCGUAGGUGAACCUGCGGAAGGAUCAUUAACACGUUAUCCACGUAUACUCUUAUCAACAACACCCUGCAUUGUGCUCCCCGGUAGAAGACUGCGCGGCUAUCAUUAUUGGCUUGUAGUGGGUUCAUGGCUGUUACUUAGUUUACUAGGUGGCGAAGUGAACAUAGCUGGUAAUCUGGUCUGUGUACCAAUUUAUUGGGUACAAGUCGCCCCACUUUCUAUUGGGCUUAUUGAUCCUCUCGCUCGUGUGAAAUAUCGAUCCCUACCACUUAGGGCAGCUUGAGGCACCAUACCAUUUUCACCCUUUAUAUACCCUAUUUGACUGAUUAUUAUAUUCUCGGGAGAAAUCCUGUGGAAUUACUAAGAUUUUAUCUUAACUAAGCACAACUCUUAGCAAUGGAUAUCUUGGUUCUC